GGGGGGGCCCCAGCCUGCGGCAGGCCCAGGGCAGCUUCCAGAAGGGGGUGACGCUGGCCGUGGAGGUGGCCGAGCUCCAGGCCACCGUGGAAGCGGCGGCCGCCCGGUACCGGCAACGCGGCAGAAACGUCACCUGGCUGGGGACAGCGGGGACAGCCAGACCCCCGCGGGGACACCUGGGGACACCGAGGGUGACACAGCCACCUCGGUGACCGCGUGACACCAACAGCGAGGACACGUCUGCAGGGGACAGACAGGGACGCAGGUGACGCAGGGCUGUGCUGACCCUUCACGGGUGACACAGCUGCCACCUGGAGGACAGCAGCAGCUGCUUGUGGUGACACCAAGUCCCCAAGGCCUGCAGGUGACACUGAGGACUUGGCAGGUGACACCGAUGUCACCAAGGAGGGUCCCUCCGUGUCACCACCCCCAAUAAAGCCACCGUGGUGUCCCCAACUUGCUGCCAA